UUGGUUGUAGGAAUUCAUCAUGUUUGUCACCAGAUCAAUGUCUGGAACAUCUAAGACAACUGAUACCAAUGCCAAAAUUUCUGUGAAUCACAAAUCUGCCACCAAGAAAACUGAUACCAAUACCAAGAUUUCUGUGAAUCACAAAGCUGCUAAGAGACCAAGCAAAAGAGCAAAGUCUCAAAGGACUGAGAAAGUUGAUGGGU